rnacentral:rRNA from 1 species
AGUGAACGCUGGCGGUAGGCCUAACACAUGCAAGUCGAACGGCAGCACAGUAAGAGCUUGCUCUUACGGGUGGCGAGUGGCGGACGGGUGAGGAAUACAUCGGAAUCUACUUUUUCGUGGGGGAUAACGUAGGGAAACUUACGCUAAUACCGCAUACGACCUACGGGUGAAAGCAGGGGAUCUUCGGACCUUGCGCGAUUGAAUGAGCCGAUGUCGGAUUAGCUAGUUGGCGGGGUAAAGGCCCACCAAGGCGACGAUCCGUAGCUGGUCUGAGAGGAUGAUCAGCCACACUGGAACUGAGACACGGUCCAGACUCCUACGGGAGGCAGCAGUGGGGAAUCUUGGACAAUGGGCGCAAGCCUGAUCCAGCCAUACCGCGUGGGUGAAGAAGGCCUUCGGGUUGUAAAGCCCUUUUGUUGGGAAAGAAAAGCAGCAGAUUUAUACCCCGCUGUUCUGACGGUACCCAAAGAAUAAGCACCGGCUAACUUCGUG